UACGUAGGGUGCAGGCGUUAAUCGGAAUUACUGGGCGUAAAGCGUGCGCAGGCGGUCUGUUAAGAGAGAUGUGAAAUCCCCGGGCUUAACCUGGGAACUGCGCUUGUAACUGGCAAGCUAGAGUGUGGCAGAGGGGGGUGGAAUUCCACGUGUAGCAGUGAAAUGCGUAGAGAUGUGGAGGAACACCGAUGGCGAAGGCAGCCCCCUGGGCUAACACUGACGCUCAUGCACGAAAGCGUGGGGAGCAAACAGG
rnacentral:rRNA from 1 species